CUGCCUAUCGAGGGUGGCGCAUAUCUAUUGCGUACAGAGCCGGUGACCAAAAUAGGAAUAGAAAAUUAGGAAAAACGUGAACAAACAGACACCAUGACCACGCUGCGACCCUUCACCUGCGACGACCUCUUCAAGUUCAACAAUGUGAACUUCGACCCACUUACGGAGACCUACGGCCUGUCCUUCUACACCCAGUACCUGGCCAAGUGGCCGGAGUACUUCCAGCUGGCGGAGUCACCCAGCGGCCAGAUCAUGGGCUACAUUAUGGGCAAAGUGGAGGGCCACAUGGACAACUGGCAUGGGCAUGUGACGGCGCUGACGGUGUCCCCCGACUACCGCAGACUGGGCCUGGCCGCGCUGCUUAUGAGCUUCCUUGAGGACAUUUCGGAGAAGAAGCGGGCAUACUUCGUGGAUCUGUUUGUACGAAAGAGCAACCAGGUGGCGAUCAAUAUGUACAAAAACCUGGGCUACAUCAUCUACCGCACCAUACUCGAGUACUAUUCGGGCGACCAGGACGAGGAUGCGUACGAUAUGAGAAAGGCCAUGUCCAGGGACGUGAACAAGAAGUCGGUCAUACCGUACACGCAGCCUGUACGACUGGAAGAUAUAGAUAUGAAUUGAUACGAUAUCAACCCAGUAGUAGCGCCCGCAACCGCAUUUAUGUCUAACUGAUCCCGGCCCCCAACCCUAAACGGGCGCGCGAGCCCCAAUCACUAUUUAGUUACUACGUAUAUGACCUGUAAAUAAUCCGCAGUCCCACGACCUUCCCAUCCGAAACGAAACAGCGGUCCUGCUUGCCCCGAUCCCUGCACAUGCCCUGAGUAAAGCUGUAUUAAUAUGACCUCGACCUUCUUCUUUAAUAAUCAACAUCAAGAUUUCCCAAGUCGAUGCGUAAAUAAUGACCGUAUUAGACACCUGUGUGUGCGUGUGUGUGUAGUGUGUGUAGUGUGUUCCGGCACUUCGGAAAGGUCACAAUGCGCGAGCUGCGCCGCCAAAUGAGACACGACCACAACUAACUGGGGCUUAUCCAUCGGCCUGCUGCUACCGCCAGGCCCAGCAUAACACAAUAUAACCCAUAGCCCCCAGCAAUUGUCCAACAUUUGCUUUUAGAGAAUGACAAAUAAAUAAAUAUAUGGCACUAGCAAAAAUCUA